AGGAUAAUGGGAACACGUGUUAUUCAUUCAGUUUUCUACUAUACUGAGAGCCUUGUAUCGAUUAAGGGCUUCAAGCCCUGCCCCCUAUCAAUGAAAGGAGAAAAGGAAGGCUUCAAUUCCAUAGAAGAAAGGCAUGAUAGAGCUAACAGGCACAUUAGCUGAACUGAAGUAAAUGUAGCAAUUUGAACAUAUUUUUUUUGGUAACAAACUGAUGUAUUACCAGGGAAAAGUUUUUACAAUUUGAGCUGAACCCUCUAGAGUUGGACAGUAAGCCCCAACUUCUAGUACACCUGAACAACCAAACAAAAAGUCUAGAACAGCAAACUACAUUCUACUAGUUACACUAGGGAUACUAAUUAAGUUCCAGCAACAUCUUGGCUAAUCUAGGCUGCUUCCCUCCUUUGCAAUGCACAUCUUGUAUAAUCAACUUUAUAAUCACAUUCUCAGUCUUCUUCUUGCUUUGGAAUGCCCUUGUGUUUCUCUCUUGCCACAAAUAGUAGAUGCAACCAGAGCAAGUCAUUCUGUAUCUGCUCUCACUCCCAUUAGCAUGUUUUCUUGCCCAAGCUUGCUCCUGUUCCCAUGCCAGCACUGGUCUGUUGAUAUGCUGCCAUUGUAAUAGUUUGUGCCACACUUUACCUGUAAAUGGACAAUUGAAGAAUAGAUGUUGCAUAGUUUUUGGGCUUGAUUCACAAAGUGGGCACGUUGGGCUACAGUUAACAGCCCACUUGAUCAGUCUAUGCUUUGUUGCCAAUCUUCCAUGAAGAUCCAGGGUCCCAUCAUCGAGUUUCUCAGAUAUUACACUGGAACUGGACAAUAAGCAAGCUUCACGAUAUCUGUAUAUGUUCAUAGCCUCCGAAUUUCCCAUUUGCCAGAUGCUCCUCCAAAGCUCAGUGUUAACACUUGCUGCCUAAACGACUAACACUCGUGGCACUUGCCUAUGGCGUGCAACAUUACAGGCCCUAAGGAUUUGCUGACACAGCCCCACUUAAAAUUGUCACAAUAUCCUCACGUACCAACCAUGUCUUUGUUGGCCUCGUUUCGCUUAGAAGGCUCUUCUCUCUUUUGGUAGUUUCUACUGUAGAUCCUUUGGUAAAAGCAUGGAGCACCUAUUCAGGUGCGACAUCCAACCAGCUAUGUUCUAACUUGCUUACUUCAAGACAUUCUGUCACCCGGUACCUAUACUCAAGCGGAUAUUCAUCUUGAGGAAAUGUCUCUGCUUAGGCACAUACUCAACUCAGUUCUCAUGUGGGAACUUCGCUUGGUGAAUGCUCAUUCCAAGCACUAUCACAAUUGUCAAUCUUAUGUUUGAACUUUGAUUUAGGAACCUGUCCUAAGGUUCUUUAAUUUUUGUACUAUAAAUCUUUAUUUUUCGCCUGUAUACACCAAUGCUAUAUGGAUGGGGCAAGAAUGUUGUAGCAUAGUCCGGAGUAUACAUCUGAACAAGAAAAAUAAUACGAUGAAACUUUAUAUGUCGACAUGAGGCAUAUUAACUGAUUCUGGCUUAAAGACAAUAUACCAAUUGUUGGUCUGGGAAUACCAAUCUAUCCAGCCACCAUAUUUCUGUAGCUGUUUUCUGGUAACCUUGUAGAUUGCUGCUGCAUUCAUGAUUCAUCCCUACUCUUUCAAAUCUUUUACUACCCCGGUCCUGUCAACCAAAAUUACUUACAAGGGUAGUGGGGAAGCUAACUUGAAAAUUCUAAUCUUUUUUAAUUUUCAUUCUUUAUGGUAAGAUAUGCAAAGCUUACCAGCUAUGUUCUCCCGUAUGAGCUGUGUAAACACAAAGAUGAAGGUGUCUUAUUCCAAAAAAAAAAAAAAAUGAUGAAUGGUGUCCUGCUUUUGUAGUGGCAGAGAAGUUCACAUGUCGGUGCAUGUGUAUGAUUUUCAGUAUUGAAUUCAUUGUACUAAAAUUAUGGAUUUAGAUAUAAUAUUUGUUGUGAUUAUAUAUAUUUCGUGUCGAACAUUAUGAUUUCA